rnacentral:rRNA from 1 species
CCUACGGGAGGCAGCAGUAGGGAAUUUUCGGCAAUGGGGGGAACCCUGACCGAGCAACGCCGCGUGAACGAAGAAGUUAUUCGUAAUGUAAAGUUCUUUUAACAGGGAAGAAAGAGAAAUUUGACGGUACCUGAAGAAUAAGCUCCGGCUAACUACGUGCCAGCAGCCGCGGUAAUACGUAGGGAGGGAGCGUUAUCCGGAAUUAUUGGGGGAAAAGGGUGCGUAGAUGGCAUAGUAAGUCUUUUGUAAAAUGGCUGGGCUCAACCCAGUAGGGCAAAAGAUACUGCAAAGCUAGAGUAUGACAGAGGCAAGUGGAACUACAUGUGUAGCGGUAAAAUGCGUAAAUAUAUGUAAGAACACCAGUGGCGAAGGCGGCUUGCUGGGUCGAUACUGACAUUGAGGCACGAAAGCGUGGGGAGCAAACAGGAUUAGAUACCCCUGUAGUC